AAAGUCGUAACAAGGUCUCCGUUGGUGAACCAGCGGAGGGAUCAUUAUCGAGUUUAUCCAACUCCCAACCCUAUGUGAACCUACCUUUAUGUUGCUUCGGCGGUCUCGCGCCGGGCUGCUCCCUUGGGGGCUCCCGGGACCACGCGUCCGCCGGAGACCACAAACUCUUGAUUUUGCGAAAGCAGUAUUAUUCUGAGUGGCCGAAAGGCAAAAAACAAAUGAAUCAAAACUUUCAACAACGGAUCUCUUGGUUCUG
rnacentral:misc_RNA from 1 species